UAGUUGCGUCACAAUCGCUUUGAACAAAAUGGCGUUUUGACGCUUGGUUGGUUUAGCUAGUUCUGAGGACAGAGAACAGGGCGCAGUUUUAAUGGUGCCUGAUAUGUAUGACAGACUAAUAUUUAACUACAAGUUGCUGAUAGGUUAUGUCAGGUCGCGUGUCCAUAUUCGUGUAUAAUCUGUCAGUAUGUGUUAAAUGGCCUGUUUAAUAACAAAUUUUGUAUAAGCAAAGUUAAAGGCUUGUGUUUAAUUAAAAAACAGGUACUAUUGGCUAACAUAGAACCAUGCUAUAUCAGUGCAGUAAAACCACUAUAAGUACACCUACCUACCGCACUAAAGCAUUAAGCUUUAAAUCCAACGAAGGUGGACUCCAACGUUCUGAAUAAAGAUAUAGGGUUUAUAUGUAAAGUUGAUUGAGUUUUGUUGCGGAUUUAAUUAUUAAGACAUGAAGUUUCCGUUCACCUGCUCAAGACUACCCAAAAAGCCAACGAAGCCUUAAUUUUCCACCUCCAAUCGUGCGUCCGGACGUAGAGUACGUUGACACAAUUCUUCUACACCGUUACGUGUGGCCCUUUGACGGAUCGUGUAACCCAAUCUGCGUGACCAAUCAAACAACCAGCUUUUAUCACGUGACUGACCCGGCCAAAGGUUCACCACACAGCCACACCCCGUCACGUCUUGCUCUUUAACGCCACAAGUGGACGUGCAAAAGCCGAAGAGUAGCAAUGAUCUAGGCACCUGCAAAUAACACAACAAGAAGCAGCCAACAAAAAUCGAAAAAAAAAGGAUUCUAUUUAAACAAAAAAGACUGGCAAUGGUAAUUAUCAGCAAAAUAGUAUCUACUUGGUACACUAUUAUUUAUACUUCAUUUUCGUUUGCUACGAUUAGUAGCACCUAGAAAGUUUAUGUAAUAUUAUAUUUACAAUUAACCUUUUAAUAUGGGGUGACCUCGAUACUGCAUGCCCCCACUUCUUUUACCUCUGCCUUAUCUCAACCAUCAACAAGUGGAAUUCUUGCCCAAGACCUUGACUGUGUUCCAUCACACUCCGCUAUCACAUAUACUUGAACUAUGUGCCCGACAAUUGACAACAACAAGACUUACUGAGAUACCAACCACCAAGCAACGCCAAUGGUUUGCAAUUAAUGUCAAGUUCUAAUGAAAUCUUAUCUGAGCACGCCCAUGAUAAUUUGCUAACGUCUUGUAACCAAGGGGCAUAUUUUGUUAAAACUUAACCAGUUUUCCUUACCCCUUUCUGGCUAAUAUUAGUCACAUAACUAAGCUAAGAGUUAUUUACACUAACAAGUCUGAAGAAUAUGUAAAAAGACGGGAAGUAGCGGAAUAUGGCAGCCUUGUAACAGGGUAAAGGACACGCAUUAUUUCUGCAGUACCUAUUGAAUGAAACGUAUAAGACCAUUACUCACAACAAACAUAUAUCUCAAGUUAAAACAUUAAAAAAGUACCGUAUUUUUGCAAAUGUAAACCAAUAUAAAACACAUUAGACACGGCGAUUAACUUUUAGGUAUAACAUAUGUAACUCCAAACUUCAUACACCCUUUUCCAACAUAACCACAAAUGCUGUAAAAAAUAUGACAGUGCGUCCUUUUCAGUCGACUCAUUACACACCAUUAGCGCUAAAACAACAAGUAUUUUGUCACUUUUAAUAUCUUCCUAUCCCCUUGCCCAUCUAUCAUCAUUGAACUAGUUUGAACAAAACAGACUCCAGUCAGACAACCUAAUCAGGACGAGUAAGACCAGGCUUGGGUCGUUAAUUAUAAUGCAUACAAUGUAAACAUGCGACGCUAUUUCAAAGACCCAUCUCUUUUGCUGUCUUCAAAGCAAGACGUUGAAAGUCAAUUCCUACGGUUAGAACCGGCAUGACCUCUUCUGAAUAAGUUUACCAAUGCUUUACAACGGAAGAACUAAAUCUACUACAUUCAACGGUAGCUUUGCGGGUAUACCUCAUCGUAUGAAUUUAAAUUGAGACGUGUUCAGGACCACUCCGUAACCUGUACAACAGCAUCUCGUGUAAAUUGUCAAAUUUAAGUCCAAAGCCUGGAUUACUGAACAAAUAUUUUAGCUUCAUUUUAAAGCUCAAUGCCACGAUACCUAAUCGUUAAACGAGCGAAAUAUCUUUAUCUAACUACACAAGCUUUCGAUCGAAACUAGGUUAAACCUAAAACCUAUGCGUUAAUACGACAACUGGGAAAGAUUACAUGCAUUAUUUUAGCGGAGUGUUAAUCCACAUUACGGCGACACGUCAGUCUUUUGGUCGGUUUAUGUCGAAACAGCUUCGCUAUUAAUCGCUGUUUAAAUUUAACCGAGUUUAAACCGUGUCACCCCAUAUCAACGAAAACGUAAACAAAGCCCGACCGCUGUCCUAUAUUACAUUGUACAGAUUAGAGCAGCGAAGUAUUGGGUAAUUUUAGUGUGUUGCUGACAAUUUUAAAACAUCUGGAUUAUAUAAACCAGAUUUAAAACUCAAAAUGGGCAUCUGAUGUUGCGAAAAUUACUUUUCAAAUUGGUAAACAUUGAAUACUGGCUUCAAAUCUGGAACAGGCGAGAUCACCAUGGUUCUGGGUUCGAAUCCUAGGCCGGGGUGAAGAACAAUAGAUUCUUUCUGUGUUUAAAUAUUAUACAGAGCUUAUUUUAAACGCACAUUAAGUAAACGUUACGUAACCUAAGCUUGGUAUGUCCUACAUGACAUAAGAUUCAAAUUCCACCCGUCGAAGUAUAUACAUAUCCUAAGUGUUUUCUUUAACAAAUUCACUAAAUGUGAUGCGCCUGAUAACGUGCGUUUUAAAAAUAACUCAGAUUCCAGACCACUUAUGACAAUACCUGACGCUAAAACGCGAUCUAGGCGAUUUGUCAUAAAACCACGCAUUGUGCGCGACAUGCAACUUAAAUCGCUGGAUUAACAGAACAAGUAAAACGUUUGCUGCUUCUUAAAACUGGAUCUUAUCUAUCGUGUCAACUUUUCGCUAGAUGGUGCUCGGCGCCACAUCACAAUGCCCUCUGUGACGUCAUACGGUGAUCAUUCUGUCUAGCUGUCACCUCGUAAGGGUUGGUUAUUCUACCAGUUCUAUAUUUGCAUACGUAACAAAGGACCAUUAUGACGCUUUGAAAUCAUAGAAAUCAUAUGAAGAUAAUCACGAAGAUAAUUUCAGUUGAAAAUGAUCGAUUUUACCGCUUGGCGCCGCUCUUAUCGCCGGAAAUUAAAUCGUUUUUCUCUCCACUGUGACUGCUAACUUCGUCAUAAUGGACAUCUUAAUGACGUCACAACAUCGAUUCUUGUCAUUUCCCAUGGGGUGGUUAAUGCUUUGAAAUAAAAUCAAUGCAAACUCGACCGUUGAGAUCUGCGAUGCAUAUUAAACAUACUAAUUGACUAUCAAACGAAGUUUUCACUGUGUAAACAAUGACAAUUAAUACCUAUUUAAAAACACAUGAUAAACGCCUGUGGUAUGUCAUUGUACUUAAAGUUAAGCCGUCUCGUGCACAUCGAUCUUCUUAUAAUACAAAUUUUCAUAUCUUUAAAACUGGCUUCCGUAUUCUCGGGUCUUGCUUUUACGCCCACUUUCUUUAUAUUACAUAAUGUUUUAAUACAAUGCCUAUAACGAUAACUGGUCCGUUUCGAUACAAACAUAUAAGCUCCUAUGUAGUAUGUACCAUACCGUUUUAAUCCCAAACGUUUCCUUUUAAAUACUAAAUCCAUCUUGUGUGCUCAGAAGUCUAAGAACUCUUUUAGAAAAAAACGCUAACAAAAAGUCCAAAAAAACUACUACAUAACUCACUGUGAGUUUAUUAUAUCGAAUGUUCGGUUUAGCAACACACUUUAUUUCAAAUUGUUCCUAAAUUAGUUUUUACCCGUAUAGAAGGUUAUAACUUUACCCAUUGUCGUUUUGUUGCCAAUUCCCUCUUUAUUGUCCUAAUUAACGCUAUCAUUAACUAGAAGAUGUAUAUUAUAGGAGGGUGGGGUAAGAUGGGAUACCUUUCAUUCUAUUGUCUCAUCCCAUGUGGUAGUAAACAAAGAACAUCCAAAGAAAUAUAAAACCGUAUCCUCGCGACUCCCUUAGACUAUUGUUAAUUGUUUAAAAGACG